rnacentral:sRNA from 1 species
UUCACCCUCCCAUAUCUGCCUUCCACAUAGGGAUUACAGGUGUGCACCACACCUAGCUGAACUGUAACUCUUAAGAGAUUAAUUACCUAUAAAUUAUAGCUCAGUAGAGAUGGGAUGAGGAGGAGAACGUGAAAAGGAAGAAUGACCAGUCUUAGAAGAAUUAGGAUUGAAGGAAACAGAGGACAGCUGCGCCACAGUCUCUUCUUGCUCCGUAUGCCAGAAACUCUGUGGGUUUUCUGAAGUGUCCCUGCAUCAUGACUGAAGUCUGCUAUCAGGACAAUGCCCCAUAUGAAGCAUCUCAUGAAGGUUUUUCAACUCCAAACUGGAUAUAAUAAUUCCUAAUCCAAAAUGGAGCAGAAUUGAACAAGAAAGCUGACUCUUUAUUAAAAGCAUCCUUACCAUUUUACUUCAUGGGUGCACCUGAA